rnacentral:lncRNA from 1 species
AUGUUGAAGUUCCUGGUCCUCAUUGUGGCGUUGGUUAUCACCACAGGAUCCCAGGCUGCUGAAGAUCCAGGUGAAGUUUCAAAAGAGGAGAAAUGGAGCUCCUAUGUGGUUCAAAUUUACUACUGGGCAAUAGACAAAGUGCUCACAUUUUCAGAAACAAAGACUGGCCGGACUUUGUUAGAGCUGUCUUAUAAUGUCAGCCAGCGCUUGGAUGACCUUCAGCAAGAGUUUCCACCAGAUAUCCAACAAACUUUGGAGCUGGUGGGUGAACUAGCAGGAGCUAUUUGGCGGAAAUCUAAUCAUGCUGCAGAGGAACUGUACCGCAGACAGGACCUUGGAUCCCAGGCUUCUGAUGAUGAAAGCCGAAUUCCAAGAGUGGAGGAACUGCUCAGAUACUGGUUUGGUUUGCCCACGGCAUCAGAUUUCAUAUGGGACAACUUUAGCGAAUCAAAGACUGGGCAGGAAUUGUCAGGCCUGUUCCAUAAUGCAAGCCAACAAUUUCAUAAAUUUGACCGAGAGAUUCCAUCGGAGCUCACAGAACCCUUACAUCUCGUGAGUGCUGUAUAUACAGGUGUUAUGCUGAAAGCUUAUAGCGCUGUAACUGAGCUGAGAGACCAGCAGAAACUUCAAGAACCACUGAUAAACCUACUGGCGUAUUAUGUGGAACCCGUCCUGGAGAGGAUGGAACCAUAUUUUGAGUCCUUCGGACCGAUGCUCAAUGACGAACUGAGAUACAUUCAUGAGAAAUUGCCGGAGUAUUUUAAACCUCUUGACGAUGGGCUCUUCUUCUACCUCAAGAAGUUGGAAGACGCUAAACCGACCCUCCAAGACGCCGCCGACCAAACGCUGACUCGUUUCAUACAAGGGCUGGAGGCUCUUCACAAGAACCUGAAUCCUUACCUGAAACCCCUUCUGGAGGAGAGCAAAAAACACGAAACAGAGUUUAGGGAUUGGGUUCACGCCUCCAUAUUUCCCUCAGACUCGUGAUUUUUUUUUUUCAUGAGUAAGGGGGAGUGAUGCAUUGUGGAUCUUUAAGAAAAUCGGUGUGGAAGGGGUCACUAAAAUGAUGUGGUGGGCAGUAAUUUGUAAACUCCCCGCCUGGUGAUAUAAUAAAGGAGACAUUUUUAAAAACGGCUAGCCA